rnacentral:pre_miRNA from 1 species
GCAUUUUGUUGUAUCUGUUAUUAGGUGUUUUAUGGAACACACCUAACACCUUAAAAUGUAAUUAUAAGCAUGCCUACAUAUUUCACAAAAAUACAGAAAACAUCCAAUUAAAAUGCAGCAAGGCUAAUUUG